CCACGCCGUCCUGCAGUUCUAUGAUCUUCCAGGACCCUCCUGUGCGGGUGAUGUCACAAUGAUGUGAUGACCUCACAGAGGCCCUGGGGUGGGGCAGGGGCAGUGGGUCAGCACUGAACCUGCCGGCCCCAUUCUGCGGUUGGUUCUGGUCCAGCGAGGAGCUGUGCGAGUGGUGCAGUAAUGCGGGUUCAGUUUGGCAGCGGAAUAAUAGCGCAGCAGCGUGUGAAGCUGGUGCAGAAGUUGCUGCAGGUGAGCUCUGGGGGCACAGACACAGAAGGGCCGGCGGGGCGAGCUGCAGGCUGGAGGGCACCCUGCCCAUGGCAUGGCAGCAGAGGGCUGGGUACGUCCGGUGGGAUGCAGAGCGCCUCGGUGCCAACGCCACUCCUCUCCCCUCCCACAGGCUCAGGAGUGGGCCAAGGAGCAGCGCAAGGCCAAGGCCAGGAAAUCCUUGCUGAAGUACGCUCAGAGAAUACGGGAAGAAAGAACGGCUGCCAGGAAAGAGGAGCUGAAGCAGGAAAUGCAGCUCGUUGCCCAACUGGAAGAGCAGCUGCAGGCUGAGACAAAGGAGAUCAAGGAGAAGAAGGAGCAGGAGAGGAGACGUGGGCUCGCCUUCUGGAUGAAGACUGUCUGCCUCAUCUUUGUCAGCCUCCUGCUGCUGCUUGUUGCCGUGCUGGGCUCUGCAGUGCUGUAUGCCCAGCACUAUGACCAGGAGCUGUUGUAUCGGCUCCUGCUGCAAGUGCUGCCCCAGGCAAUGUACGCUUCCCUGGCGUACUUUGCGAGCAGGAGCCUGCGUGUGGUCUGUGAUGGGCUGCUGCCCAUCUGACCGCCCCUGUCAGUCCCCCCUCCCAGCUCGGGGCUGCGCAGUGGUGGGGCGCAUGGAGAGGGCUCUGUCCCCACGGAAGGGGCCUCUCCUGUGCUCCUGCCCCCAGGGGCGCACAGGCACAGCUGUGGGGCAGUGCCGGCAGGCGGCUGAGUGCCACCACUUUGGACUUACAAAUAAGUUGGUACUGUCGUCGUCAACUGAACACCACCACCUCCGACGACCCAUCAGACUGAAGAUGUGCACCUGAC
ensembl:lncRNA